CAAAAAAAACACGUGAGUAACCUGCCCUUGACUUUGGGAUAACUUCAGGAAACUGGGGCUAAUACCGGAUAGGAGCUCCUGCUGCAUGGUGGGGGUUGGAAAGUUUCGGCGGUUGGGGAUGGACUCGCGGCUUAUCAGCUUGUUGGUGGGGUAGUGGCUUACCAAGGCUUUGACGGGUAGCCGGCCUGAGAGGGUGACCGGCCACAUUGGGACUGAGAUACGGACCAGACUCCUACGGGAGGCAGCAGUGGGGAAUAUUGAACAAUGGGCGGAAGCCUGAUGCAGCAACUUUUUUUUUUUUAAGUCGGCCGGCGGCCACCAAGACCUACACUCGUU
rnacentral:rRNA from 1 species